rnacentral:lncRNA from 1 species
UCAAAGAUUGUUAAAAGUGGAAUAUUACUACAGUAGGGAAGUUGAUAUGGCAAUUGGCUAGCAAGCAAGAUGUGUUAUGGGUAAAAUGGAUCCAUGAAGUGUAUAUAAAGGGAUCCGAUGACAUUUGGCAACACAAAGCUCUCCAAGAUAGUAAUUGAUAUUAGAGGAAACUAAAUGAGCUCAAAGAAGAAAUUAAGCAGUGGUACCAAGGGGGAAC